rnacentral:lncRNA from 1 species
AAACCGGGUUUGUAUUUCAUAUAGAGUUAUGAUAGUUUACAUCCCACAUCUUACAAAGACCCUCUUAAAAAAAUAUAAAUUACACACAAGUCCUUGCAAGACAAUCCCGGUUGUCCUCGUCGUUGACAAUCGGAUCAAGCUCGUUGAGGCCGACUACCCUCCCGACGAAGGAACAUCAAAAAUUUUCAUUGGCACCAAAGGAAUAGCACAUCAGAAACUCCAAUAUGCUUUGUAACCGCUGAACGCUCAGGCUCGAGAAGAUGGCUGGAGGCCAUCGCUUCGUCAGACAACAAGGUAUCUGACGUCACAACCAUCAGCAUCCUCCGCUCACCGUGCAACGAUUCACCAUGAAAGGGGAGGCAAACCACCAGAAUAGGUGGUAGUUAAGACCCAACCCGGUUUUGAAACGAGCUGGUAGAACCUGUUGGAGCCACCGCCCAGGCCGCCGGAGUAAAGGAUGGCGCCACCUCCUUCGGUCCAAAGACGGAGCCCACCAGGAAGUCCGCAGUCGGCGGCAGCGCCACCAGCCCGGAAGGGAAAGCUCACAUGGAAGCACAAAAGAUCCUUCCCCAAUACAAAUAGGAAAGCCAGAACUAACCUCGUGCAGAUCUUGCCGGAGACGCCGCCACCGAUGCCAUCAUCACUAGGGAUACGCAAAGGUAACCUAACUCUAGCCGGAGAAAUAGAGACGUCGGCAGGACAAAGGAGCUACUAAACCUAAGCCUAAAGCCAUACUGGGCCCUCCCGCCAAGGAGCCAGGCACCCCUCUUAGCUCCAUCGCCGGCAAGGAUGCCGGAGGAGAGGGGGCCGGCGGAUCAACGGACAGAAGAGUGAGUCACCCUCGAAAUCGCCUUGUG